GCUUUCGUGGUGUAGUGGUCAGCACGCUCCACGCUUAUUCGAGAGGUCUGUGGUUCGAGUCCCAGCAAAGCA
rnacentral:tRNA from 1 species